GAUGAACGCUGGCGGCGUGCCUAAUACAUGCAAGUCGAGCGAACAGAUGAGAAGCUUGCUUCUCUGAUGUUAGCGGCGGACGGGUGAGUAACACGUGGGUAACCUACCUAUAAGACUGGGAUAACUCCGGGAAACCGGGGCUAAUACCGGAUAAUAUUUUGAACCGCAUGGUUCAAUAGUGAAAGACGGUUUCGGCUGUCACUUAUAGAUGGACCCGCGCCGUAUUAGCUAGUUGGUAAGGUAACGGCUUACCAAGGCGACGAUACGUAGCCGACCUGAGGGGGUGAUCGGCCACACUGGAACUGAGACACGGUCCAGACUCCUACGUGAGGCAGCAGUAGGGAAUCUUCCGCAAUGGGCGAAAGCCUGACGGAGCAACGCCGCGUGAGUGAUGAAGAUCGUCGGAUCGUAAAUCUCUGUUGUUGGGGAAGAACAAAUUUGUUAGUAACUGAACAAGUCUUGACGGUACCUAACCAGAAAGCCACGGCUAACUACGUGCCAGCAGCCGCCGCGG
rnacentral:rRNA from 1 species